AAGUUCUUUUAUUAUUUAUUGACCAUUACUAUCAUAACUAGAGCCAAAGUCGCUGAUUCUACAACUCAUGAGACCCAGCUAAAAAGUUAAAGCACAACUUAGUUUCCAAACCUUGGUGGACCUUUUAACUAUGGACCAAAAAGUGCUUUCUAAUAUUAUAAAUGUACUUUCUUUUAUAGUAUGAAUGAAAAUCUAUCUUUUUAUCCUAUUGCUAGAAGUUGAAAGUCAUAGGAAUAACAAAAAAUAUAUUUCAUCAGCACUGUUUAUAUGGAUAAGGAGAAAUUUCGUAGAAGUAGUACAGAUAUGUUGACAGAGAAGAUGAACAUUCAAUAAGCAUAAAAGGAUUACAUUUUAGAUGUCCACAUGAAGAACCAACAGAAGAGAAAAGAACAUUAAUUAUGCAAAUAUAAAAAUAAUCAAAAAAAUUUACCAGCAAGCACUAAUGUCAACUUAGCACACUGCAAAAAAAAAGAAGAAAAGAAAAGAAAGGAAAAGGAAACAAUUAUUCAGCUUCUACGUAAUGAAAAACUAAAACUCA
rnacentral:lncRNA from 1 species